rnacentral:tRNA from 1 species
ACCUGGGUGGCUCAGUCAGUUGAGCGUCUGACUUCAGCUCAUGUCACGAUCUCAGGGGUUGUGGGUUCGAGCCCCACGUUGGGCU